AACGAACGCUGGCGGCAGGCCUAACACAUGCAAGUCGAGCGGCCGUAGCAAUACGGCAGCGGCGCACGGGUGAGUAACGCGUGGGAACCUGCCCUUUGGUUCGGAACAACCCUGGGAAACUAGGGCUGAUACCGGAUGAGCCCCUUAUUCUCGCAAGAGGUGAGGGGAAAGAUUUAUCGCCGAAGGAGGGGCCCGCGUCCGAUUAGCUAGUUGGUGGGGUAAUGGCCUACCAAGGCUUCGAUCGGAGCCGGUCUGAGAGGACGAUCGGCCACACUGGGACUGAGACACGGCCCAGACUCCUACGGGAGGCAGCAGUGGGGAAUAUUGGACAAUGGGCGCAAGCCUGAUCCAGCCAUGCCGCGU
rnacentral:rRNA from 1 species